AUUGAACGCUGGCGGCAUGCCUUACACAUGCAAGUCGAACGGCAGCACGGGAGCAAUCCUGGUGGCGAGUGGCGAACGGGUGAGUAAAGCAUCGGAACGUGCCCUGGAAUGGGGGAUAACGUAGCGAAAGUUACGCUAAUACCGCAUAUUCUGUGAGCAGGAAAGCAGGGGAUCUUCGGACCUUGCGUUUCAGGAGCGGCCGAUGUCGGAUUAGCUAGUUGGUGGGGUAAAGGCCUACCAAGGCGACGAUCCGUAGCGGGUCUGAGAGGAUGAUCCGCCACACUGGAACUGAGACACGGUCCAGACUCCUACGGGAGGCAGCAGUGGGGAAUAUUGGGCAAUGGGCGCAAGCCUGACCCAGCAACGCCGCGUGAGGGAAGAAGGCUUCGGGUUGUAAACCUCUGUCCUUGGUGACGAAAAAAUGACGGUAGCCAAGGAGGAAGCCCCGGCUAACUACGUG
rnacentral:rRNA from 1 species